rnacentral:rRNA from 1 species
GGUGAAAAGCACCCCGGAAGGGGAGUGAAAUAGAACCUGAAACCGUGUGCUUACAAGUAGUCAGAGCCCGUUAAUGGGUGAUGGCGUGCCUUUUGUAGAAUGAACCGGCGAGUUACGAUUUGAUGCAAGGUUAAGCAGUAAAUGUGGAGCCGUAGCGAAAGCGAGUCUGAAUAGGGCGUUUAGUAUUUGGUCGUAGACCCGAAACCAGGUGAUCUACCCUUGGUCAGGUUGAAGUUCAGGUAACACUGAAUGGAGGACCGAACCGACUUACGUUGAAAAGUGAGCGGAUGAACUGAGGGUAGCGGAGAAAUUCCAAUCGAACCUGGAGAUAGCUGGUUCUCUCCGAAAUAGCUUUAGGGCUAGCCUCAAGUGAUGAUUAUUGGAGGUAGAGCACUGUUUGGACGAGGGGCCCCUCUCGGGUUACCGAAUUCAGACAAACUCCGAAUGCCAAUUAAUUUAACUUGGGAGUCAGAACAUGGGUGAUAAGGUCCGUGUUCGAAAGGGAAACAGCCCAGACCACCAGCUAAGGUCCCAAAAUAUAUGUUAAGUGGAAAAGGAUGUGGCGUUGCCCAGACAACUAGGAUGUUGGCUUAGAAGCAGCCAUCAUUUAAAGAGUGCGUAAUAGCUCACUAGUCGAGUGACACUGCGCCGAAAAUGUACCGGGGCUAAACAUAUUACCGAAGCUGUGGAUUGUCCUUUGGACAAUGGUAGGAGAGCGUUCUAAGGGCGUUGAAGCAUGAUCGUAAGGACAUGUGGAGCGCUUAGAAGUGAGAAUGCCGGUGUGAGUAGCGAAAGACGGGUGAGAAUCCCGUCCACCGAUUGACUAAGGUUUCCAGAGGAAGGCUCGUCCGCUCUGGGUUAGUCGGGUCCUAAGCUGAGGCCGACAGGCGUAGGCGAUGGAUAACAGGUUGAUAUUCCUGUACCACCUAUAAUCGUUUUAAUCGAUGGGGGGACGCAGUAGGAUAGGCGAAGCGUGCGAUUGGAUUGCACGUCUAAGCAGUAAGGCUGAGUAUUAGGCAAAUCCGGUACUCAUUAAGGCUGAGCUGUGAUGGGGAGAAGACAUUGUGUCUUCGAGUCGUUGAUUUCACACUGCCGAGAAAAGCCUCUAGAUAGAAAAUAGGUGCCCGUACCGCAAACCGACACAGGUAGUCAAGAUGAGAAUUCUAAGGUGAGCGAGCGAACUCUCGUUAAGGAACUCGGCAAAAUGACCCCGUAACUUCGGGAGAAGGGGUGCUCUUUAGGGUUAACGCCCAGAAGAGCCGCAGUGAAUAGGCCCAAGCGACUGUUUAUCAAAAACACAGGUCUCUGCUAAACCGUAAGGUGAUGUAUAGGGGCUGACGCCUGCCCGGUGCUGGAAGGUUAAGAGGAGUGGUUAGCUUCUGCGAAGCUACGAAUCGAAGCCCCAGUAAACGGCGGCCGUAACUAUAACGGUCCUAAGGUAGCGAAAUUCCUUGUCGGGUAAGUUCCGACCCGCACGAAAGGCGUAACGAUUUGGGCACUGUCUCAACGAGAGACUCGGUGAAAUCAUAGUACCUGUGAAGAUGCAGGUUACCCGCGACAGGACGGAAAGACCCCGUGGAGCUUUACUGUAGCCUGAUAUUGAAAUUCGGCACAGCUUGUACAGGAUAGGUAGGAGCCUUUGAAACGUGAGCGCUAGCUUACGUGGAGGCGCUGGUGGGAUACUACCCUAGCUGUGUUGGCUUUCUAACCCGCACCACUUAUCGUGGUGGGAGACAGUGUCAGGCGGGCAGUUUGACUGGGGCGGUCGCCUCCUAAAAGGUAACGGAGGCGCUCAAAGGUUCCCUCAGAAUGGUUGGAAAUCAUUCAUAGAGUGUAAAGGCAUAAGGGAGCUUGACUGCGAGACCUACAAGUCGAGCAGGGUCGAAAGACGGACUUAGUGAUCCGGUGGUUCCGCAUGGAAGGGCCAUCGCUCAACGGAUAAAAGCUACCCCGGGGAUAACAGGCUUAUCUCCCCCAAGAGUUCACAUCGACGGGGAGGUUUGGCACCUCGAUGUCGGCUCAUCGCAUCCUGGGGCUGUAGUCGGUCCCAAGGGUUGGGCUGUUCGCCCAUUAAAGCGGUACGCGAGCUGGGUUCAGAACGUCGUGAGACAGUUCGGUCCCUAUCCGUCGUGGGCGUAGGAAAUUUGAGAGGAGCUGUCCUUAGUACGAGAGGACCGGGAUGGACAUACCUCUGGUGUACCAGUUGUCGUGCCAACGGCAUAGCUGGGUAGCUAUGUGUGGACGGGAUAAGUGCUGAAAGCAUCUAAGCAUGAAGCCCCCCUCAAGAUGAGAUUUCCCAACUUCGGUUAUAAGAUCCCUCAAAGAUGAUGAG